UCUUCUGGAUGAUGAGAACAUGAAAUUACAGUUAUCCCUGGCUGAUUCGAAAUGCUGAUAUUUCUUACUCUGACAGUACU